GUCUCAUGCAGCCUGCAAACCCAGCUUCUGUUUAAUUGCUUCCUCCCACUAUUGCUCUCGAAAAAAGAUGACAGAUAUCGGUUGUCCAGAGCCCACAACUGCUCUUAUCAUCCUGCAGAUGCACAGAGAGGGGCAAAGAAGGCUCUGCCAACUGAUACAAAAUUGCAUACCAGUGACUCUGAUGGGCAAAAAGAAAACACCCAUAGGAAGCCCUAACUCAGAGGUUAAUAUGUCCCACUUGGUGCCUAUUUCAAUGGCCUUGGAGCUGCCAUUCACCUGCAACUCUGAAGGACCAUGUACACCUUUACCAGGCUACCUGUGGAGUGUUCCAGGAACUUUGGCAUUGCACAGUCUCUGCAGGGAAGCUCUUAGGUGCAUCCCCCUCUCUCAGGAGCACAGCGACACACGAAGAGAAAUCUGUUCUCAGUGGCAGUGACUAUGACAACAAACGCAUUUCAUUUUCUUACUUUUAUGCACAUCAUAGACAACACCGAGGAGCUUUGGAUAUAUUUUCUACAUAGACAUUUAAGCAACUAGAGACUGCCUCCCAGCCCUAAAAUGAUUUGAACCCGUACCAUGUUAUCCUGGGAUUUAAGGGCAAGUCCGUGGGUGGGGACUAGACACAGUUAAUAAACCAGAGACUCGGGCUUUGUGACUAAGGAAGA
rnacentral:lncRNA from 1 species